rnacentral:rRNA from 1 species
CCUACGGGAGGCAGCAGUGAGGAAUAUUGGUCAAUGGACGAGAGCCUGAACCAGCCAAGUAGCGUGAAGGAUGACUGCCCUACGGGUUGUAAACUUCUUUUAUAAGGGAAUAAAAUGUUGCACGUGUGGCAUUUUGUAUGUACUAUAUGAAUAAGGAUCGGCUAACUCCGUGCCAGCAGCCGCGGUAAUACGGAGGAUCCGAGCGUUAUCCGGAUUUAUUGGGUUUAAAGGGAGCGUAGGUGGGUUGUUAAGUCAGUUGUGAAAGUUUGCGGCUCAACCGUAAAAUUGCAGUUGAUACUGGCAGCCUUGAGUACAGUAGAGGUAGGCGGAAUUCGUGGUGUAGCGGUGAAAUGCUUAGAUAUCACGAAGAACUCCGAUUGCGAAGGCAGUCCACUGGACUGCAACUGACACUGAUGCUCGAAAGUGUGGGUAUCAAACAGGAUUAGAUACCCCUGUAGUC